rnacentral:rRNA from 1 species
AUUGAACGCUGGCGGCAUGAUUUACACAUGCAAGUCGAACGGUAACAGGCCGCAAGGUGCUGACGAGUGGCGAACGGGUGAGUAAUGCAUCGGAACGUGCCCAGUCGUGGGGGAUAACUACUUGAAAGAGUAGCUAAUACCGCAUACGAUCUAUGGAUGAAAGCGGGGGACCGUAAGGCCUCGCGCGAUUGGAGCGGCCGAUGUCAGAUUAGGUAGUUGGUGGGGUAAAGGCUCACCAAGCCAACGAUCUGUAGCUGGUCUGAGAGGACGACCAGCCACACUGGGACUGAGACACGGCCCAGACUCCUACGGGAGGCAGCAGUGGGGAAUUUUGGACAAUGGGCGCAAGCCUGAUCCAGCAAUGCCGCGUGCAGGAAGAAGGCCUUCGGGUUGUAAACUGCUUUUGUACGGAACGAAACGGCUCUGGUUAAUACCCGGGGCUAAUGACGGUACCGUAAGAAUAAGCACCGGCUAACUACGUG